GUGGGGAAUCUUGCGCAAUGGGCGAAAGCCUGACGCAGCCAUGCCGCGUGAAUGAUGAAGGUCUUAGGAUUGUAAAAUUCUUUCACCGGGGACGAUAAUGACGGUACCCGGAGAAGAAGCUCCGGCUAACUUCGUGCCAGCAGCCGCGGUAAUACGAAGGGGGCUAGCGUUGCUCGGAAUUACUGGGCGUAAAGGGCGCGUAGGCGGACAGCUUAGUCAGAGGUGAAAGCCCAGGGCUCAACCUUGGAAUUGCCUUUGAUACUGGCUGUCUUGAGUGUGAGAGAGGUAUGUGGAACUCCGAGUGUAGAGGUGAAAUUCGUAGAUAUUCGGAAGAACACCAGUGGCGAAGGCGACAUACUGGCUCAUUACUGACGCUGAGGCUCGAAAGCGUGGGGAGCAAACAGGAUUAGAAACCCCGGUAGUCC
rnacentral:rRNA from 1 species